GUGAGCUAUGGUCGCGGUCGCGGCUGCCAGCAGUCGAUGUUAUUCUGUUCGCGUGUGUUCGUUGGUUCCCAGAUUUGAAUUACUGAUCGAGUGUGAAGCUAUUUUAGGGGAUUUUUUGAAUUAAACUCUGUGUGAUUUCGGUCGUACGGACUUGACAAAUAGUGCCAGCAUAUAAAGGGUCGUUUUCAAAAGGAUAUUUCUGCGAUAGUCACUUGACGGCGCGUUUCAAACCCUUUCAAUUCUGGCUCACCAACCAUGCCACCCUAACCACGUACAGUUCCCCGAAGUAACAAUGCCAUCGGAUCAACCCUUCUGUCAUCUCAACAAAAGCCGGACAAAAAACGCGACUCGUCUAGAGCCGGGGCUCAUUUGAUGAAAAAUGCUCAGCGAUAACGAGCCACAAAGACUUCAUUUUCUCAUAAUCAAUCACCGCGACGAAGGAGUGAUCGAAAGGGACGACCUCGUAUAAGUGCGGAAUAUGCCGGGAUUAGUCGUUUUUCGAAGAAGAUGGAGCGUUGGAUCCGACGAUCUGGUUGUUCCCGGCGCUUUCCUGUUCUCCGUGCACCUCAUUUGCUGUUCCAGAUGGCGUUCA